CAGCCCGGCUAGAGCCCGUCUUGCAGCGGUUUCUCUCCCAGUCCCAACGCGCCCAGCUGGCACACCUCCCGUGCCAGGGCUCCUUGGCAGGCAGCAACUUCCCCGCAGCACCCUUAUUAGCACUCCAGGGACGUUCAGUACAACCCUCAAGAGCUGGGGUCGCGCCGGAUCCCGCCCCCAUCCCUCGUUAUUGAUGGAUAACCUCCUGCGGAAAAUCGGCAAGGUGCUAAACCAAGGCUCUGCAGCCGGGAAAUUCCGGUUCCCUUCCUGAAUUGACCCAGGCCGGGAGUCACAGAACUACCAGCGCUUCGCGGACACGAGGAAUUCGGACGGCGCCCUGCAACUCACCGGACCCAUCAGGCAGUCCCAUGACCCUCAGAGGGUAGCUCGUGUGCGGCUUUUUCAGACAGCUCCCCCAGGAGGCCACUACCGGGUAGGAGGUGGCGCCAGGCCAAGGAGGAGGCCGGCGUCAAGCGCCACCGCUAGGAUGUGCAUGAUCAGGCCAAUCAGAAUUCUGGGAGUGGAACCUAAGUCACACUCUUCGGGCGGGGCGAGCCGGGAGAAUAAAAAUUUAACCCUU
rnacentral:lncRNA from 1 species